GCAGUAGCACCUGCCAAUACAUAGUCCUAUCAACAUACAACUAACCCUAUGGUGGGAUCCACGUGCGCGAUCAUAUGAUGGGCACCAAAGGACAACGACAUAACCACAAUCAAAUUAAACCAAUCAUAGUAAUUCAUCAAUCACCGAUAGGACAACGAUAAUCUACUCAGACAUCAUAGGAUAGCAACACAUCAUUGGAUAAUAAUAUGUAGCAUAAAGCACCAUGUUCAAGUAGAGGGUACAACGGUUUGCGGGAGAGUGAACCACUGAAUAUAGAUGGGGGAAGAUGAUGGAGAUGUUGGUGAAGAUGACGGAGGUGUUGGUGUAGAUCGCCGUCACACGAUGAUGUCCCGGGCGGCGUUCCGGCGCCGCCGGGAGAGAGCCCCCCUCCUUCUUCUUCUUCCUUGACCUAUUCCCUAGGUGGGAGAAGGGUUUCCCCUCUGGUCCAUGGUCUCCAUGACGGCGGAGGGGCGAGCCCCUCCGAGAUUGGAUCUCUCUCUCUGUGUCCUUCUGUUUCUGCGCUCCGAGAUUCUGCGUUUCACCGUUUCUUAAAUUCCCAGAGAUCCAUAACUCCGAUUGGGCUGAAAUUUUAACACAAUUUUCUUCCGGAUAUUAUCUUUCCUGCGGCGAAAGAAGGGAUCCAACCGCCUUAAGGAGUGGCCACAAGCCUGCCUGCCGCGGUCCCACCCCCUAGCCGCGGCGACAGGGCUUGUGGGCACUCCGUGCAUCGCCUCGCGUUGAUUCUUCUCCCAAAAAUCAUAAAUAUUCCAAAAACAAUCCCCGUAAGUUUUUAUUACGUUUGGACUUUGUUUGUUAUGGAUAUUCUGCGAAACAAAAAACAUGCAACAAACAGGAACUGGCACUAGGCACUGGAUCAAUAUGUUAGUCCCAAAAAUAGUAUAAAAAGUUGCCAAAAGUAUAUGAAAGUUAUAGAAUAUUGGCAUGAAACAAUCAAAAAUUAUAGAUACGACACAGACGUAUCACGCCUCACAUGUUUUCUUCAGGGAGUCGCCAUGGAACAACAACCGCGGCCACCCGCCCACCCCCCGCAUUGGAGCUCACCGCCUCCGACCACCUCAUUGUCGACCUCGUUCUCCUUUGCCUUGAUUACGCCCGCCACAACCGCAUCCAUGUUGGAGAAGCCGGAUCCGCUACCUCCUGCCUCCCCUGCCAUCAGGAGUAAGAUGACCGAGUGGAUCGCCCGUUUGUUCGCCGCGUGGGCAUCUUCUGCCUUCAAGUUGGGCUUAUCACACAUGCUACUUAUUUGGAUCUGCGUUGGCGGGGAUGGCGGUAGGAGCGCGUGGUGACGCGGGGGUGGACCGGUGGCGCGUGAUGAGGCAGGUUGGGCGUGGCAGGAGGUGGCGGCGCACUCGAGGUGAAGGUGGGUAUUGGGAGGCAGGGGCGUGCGGCGCGCUGGGGCUGAAGGUGGGGAUUGGGAAGCAGGGGCGUGCGGGGUGUCUCAGUGCUUAGUGAUGCACGAGUUUUUGUAAAAAAAGGAAAUGCUUUUUAACUUAAAAAGGACCGUGGGUUGAUUUCAAAGAAAUAGAGGGGUUUUUUCGCAAAAACGCCAACGAAGGAUGACAAAAGCAAUCCAUGCUUUAUUAUUAUUAUUAUUAUUAUUAUUGUUAUUGUUAUUAUUAUUAUUAAGUAGAGAUGUCAAAUCUUGUCAGAGCGGGAUUCGAGGCGUCCUUUUAGCCACAAAUUAUUGCGCCGGUUCACAUUUCCUUCGUGCCACUUCGGGUUCUUCCUCUUUAUAAAUAGGACGAUGCUACACAGCGCCCGCGCGCUGUGCGGCUACAUGUCGCGGCCGCCAGGAAAGGUAAGUCCCUAUCGGUCCCCCCAUGUGCUUUCAAAAAAGGGUUCUUUUCCCCCUCGUCACGUGAUUCCACCUCCUCCGAGCAAAAACCCUAAGUCCCCGCACAGAUCCGCUCCCCAUCCCUCCCCCCGGUGCUAACCUCUCUUUUCCCCAUGCCCCAACCGCCAUCGGGAGGCCAUGGCCUAGCGGCGUGGACCCCCUGUCUAGAAGAGAGAAAAUAAGAGGAAAACAGAAAGUAGGCAAAAAGGAUCCCAGGGACUGCAACUAUUUUGUUUCUGGUCAGGCAAAAUAACAGUGAAAACUAUGCAAAAAACACCAUCCAAAUCAGGACAAUGUUUUCCUGUGUGAACAACAAAAGGGUAAUGCAAGUUUUCCAGAAAAUUCCCCAUUGAACUUUGUUCUAGACCUCCUUCCUUCUGUACCUCUCCCUAGUUAACUGCAUGUGCUAUACAUGUUUUGCCAUCAGAGUUAGGAUCCAAAGCCAGCAUCAAGAUCUGCCUUUUCCAGGCUUGUUUCUUGCCUGCACCUCCUUCAUUCUGUACAAAAUGGUAGUAUUUGCUAUUGUUUUGUUGCUAUUUUCUGCAAAACCAAAUAGAGACCUCAUGUUAAAAUUCUGGAUCUUGAAAAAAAACCAUGAAAAAACUAACAGGUACCAACAGUAAGUUUUCAGUAGGGCAACAAAAAACUUUGGAAACUUAUCAUGCAGUCAAGGGGGAGAGAGAGAAACAGGUUUGUUGUAUGGUGCAUAAUUGUAGAAAAAAAUGGUAGGCAAAAAAAUGUAGAUAAAAAAGGCAGCACUUGCUCUGUUAAUAUGGUGCGAAAACAGAGAACUUAUGCUUGUUGUAUUUUGAUUACUGUUAAUAUGGCAGCACUUGCUCUGCUAAUAUGGUGAAAAAAGAGAGAGCUUAAUAUGGUGCAAAAUGUAGAUAAAAAUGUAGAUAUGGAGAUCAAUCUACAUAUCUGCAUGCUGUACAUGAUUGCUGUUUUCAUUUUACAUUUGAAGACCAAAUGCUUGCACGUAUGAUCCGUUCUAAUUUCUAUAUUACGAAAAAUGCAGAUGGCUGGGAUUGAUCUCAAUGAGCUGCCUGAUGAUUUUGCUGACUGUGAUGGCGUUCCACUGUUCUGCACGCAAUUCCAAACUGACAAAGUUCCUAGCGCAACCAGGUGAAUAGACUGGAAUACUACUUCAAUGCAUCGCUGGAGUAGGCUUCUCAAUCUUUGCAUCGACAACGAAGUGGUGUCGCUUGCUCGUUCGAUCGCGUCGCUCCGAGUGGCAUCAAUGACGUGUGGAGUCACAUCCGCUCUAGAGCGUCAUAGUCAACAUGAAUGCCCAUCGACCGCUUCAGGUGGAGAGGGUUUUUCGAGUGGAGAAGGUUUUAAGUGGGACACACACGCGUACUUGAGGGGGGUUCGAACGCCCGCAAAGCUCCCUGGUUUGCAACAGGACAACAAUGAUGGCAACAAGCUCUGCCAAUAGGACGUCGAUGAAUGGGUUGUUCACGAAGGCUGAGCUUAUCAAAUAUAACAAUCUGGGAAAGAGUAAAAGUAAGAAGGAAGACAAUGAGAGAGCUUCGUAUUCACACGGAAUAUGUAUGAAGCGAGCGAGAUUGCUCAAGGCAUGUCAGCUACCUACCCAUGCGCGAAGAUUCAUACACGCCAUCCGAUGAUCCACAAGGUGUUAUGACCGGUACAACGUACCAACGGAGGAGGCCCAAUGGGCAGGGUUAAUUAUGGGCUUAGCCCAAGUUAUCUUACCUAUCUUAGAAGUCCAAGUUACAUUAGAGUCCAAGUUAUAUUAGAGUCCAAGUUAGAGUCCAAGUUAUCUAGGGUUUAGUGGAGGCUGUCCUCCUUUAUAAACACAUGUACCCCUUCGAUAUUAAUCAGACAAUAAACAGUAUAUUCUGUUGUCGUCUCCCUCGCGAGACGAGAGCCCCAAACCCUAGCCGCCUCUCUCUCUCUCUCUCACGCCGCGACGGCGCCCAACCGCCGGCGCCGGCGUCCCCAACCUCGCAGCCCGCACUUCCACCCCUACAACCUACGUCCGAGACCUGGUAGAACCCUAGCCUCUACCAAUUUGGUAUCAGGUAGCUUGGGUUCGAUGAGUUUGUCGGACCUUCCCACCACCACUGCCUUCCCCGCCACCUCACAGCAGCAGCCGCCGCCGCACCACUCACCGCUGCCAGCCACCUCAGGCCCGGCCGCCUCCGGUCCCGCGGCCCUGGCGGCCGAACCCGCUCCCGUCCUCUCCCCGGCGGAGAUGUCCUCGGCGAUCCGCGACCUCAACCUGGCGGUCUCGAACCUCCGGACUCUCCUCCAGGCUCCGUACGCAACCCCGUCACCACCGCCUCCGCCGGCGGCGCCCUUCGCGCCACCGCCCCCGGCGACUGUCGUGCCCCAGGGCCUGCCGAUCACCCAGGUCCGGUGGCCGCCGUCGCCGUCCCCGCUACCGACGUGGAUGGACAUGCCGACCUACACGACGGCGCCACUACAGUCGACGGUGUUGCAGCCACCCGCCCCCACCUUCGAGGGGUUCGGCGGGUACACUGAUCCGUACGUCGGGAGCUCUGUGGUGCCGCAACACUCUCCUUCCGCCGCGCUGGGCCGUCACGAGGGCACCUACGCGGCCUCGCCACACGUGCAGCAGCCACCCCGCUUCACCAAGCUGGAGUUCGCCACCUACGACGGCACCGUCGACCCCCUGAACUGGCUCAAUCAGUGCGACCAGUUUUUAAGGGGGCAGCGGACCAUGGCGUCCGACCGCACGUGGAUCGCCUCCUACCACCUCCGUGGCGCCGCCCAGACUUGGUACUACGCCCUCGAGCAGGACGAGGGCGGGAUGCCUUCAUGGGAGCGCUUUCGCGACCUGUGUCUCCUCCGGUUCGCCCCCAUACGUGGGAGCCGCUUGGCCGAGCUCGGUCGCCUUCCCUUCACCACCUCGGUGCAGGACUUCGCCGACCGCUUCCAGACGUUGGCCUGCCAUGCGCCUGACGUCACGGCUCACCAACGCGCCGAGCUCUUCGUCGGCGGCCUUCCCGACCACAUCCGCAUCAACGUCGAGAUGCGCGAUCCCCAGGACCUGCAGACGGCCAUGUAUUACGCACGCGCGUACGAGCAGCGCGCCAACGCCCUGCAGCAGGCGUUCCCGGGCCGCGGCACGCGUUCCCCGACCCGCCCCGCCCCGGCGGCCGCCACCCCGACACGCCCCGCCCUGCCGGCCGCUACGGCGGCUGCCCCCGCGCCGACACGCAACUUCCGGCGCUUGACGUCGGCCGAGCAGCUCGAGCGGCGCCGCAAGGGCCUGUGCUUCAACUGCGACGAGCCGUAUGCGCCGGGUCAUACGUGCGCCCGCCUGUUCUACUUGGAGACCGUCGACGACGCGGAGGUGGAGGCCCUCACCGCGGAGCUCGACGCCACCACACUCUCCGAGGCCGGCGUCACGACCUACGGGCCGGUCGACGCGACCGCCUUCGUCGUCUCCCUUCAUGCCAUGGCUGGCAUCAAGACGGCAAAGACGAUGCUGCUUCCGGUGACGAUCAACGGGGAGCGUCUAACCGCGCUCGUGGACACGGGUUCGACGCACAACUUCCUGUCCGGGGACGCCAUGCGCCGCCUCGCACUCCAACCGGCGGGCUCGGAGAAGUUCAGCGUCACCGUCGCCAACGGGGACCGCCUUGCUUGCCAGGGGGUGGCGCGGCAGGUUCCCGUCCUCAUCGGCGACUAGCCGUUCUCCAUCGACUGCGUCGGCAUUGACCUAGGCUGCUACGACUUCAUCCUCGGCAUCGACUUCCUGUCCACUCUCGGCCCCAUCCUUUGGGACCUCGAUGUGCUGUCCCUCAUCUUCUGGCGCGAGGGCGGCCGUCGCGUUCAGUGGACAGGCAUCGGCGGCUCCGGCGCCGUGACUCCACAGCUCCAGUUGAUGGCGUCCGCACUGGACGAGGCGCAUCCCCUCCUGGCCGACCUCCUGCAGCAGCACAACGACAUUUUCGACAAGCCACAGGGCCUCCCUCUUGUGCGGCCCUGUGACCACCGCAUCCACCUGCUGCCGGACACGGCACCUGUAGCCGUGCGUCCGUACCGGUACCCUCAGCUGCAGAAAGACGAGCUCGAGCGUCAGGUGGCGGUCAUGCUCGCCCAAUGGCAGGGUUAAUUACGGGCUUAGCCCAAGUUUAUCUUACCUAUCUUAGAAGUCCAAGUUAUAUUAGAGUCCAAGUUAGAGUCCAAGUUAUCUAGGGUUUAGUGGAGGCCGUCCUCCUUUAUAAACACAUGUACCCCUUCGAUAUUAAUCAGACAAUAAACAGUAUAUUCUGUUGUCGUCUCCCUCAGGAGACGAGAGCCCCAAACCCUAGCCGCCUCUCUCUCUCUCACACGCCGCGACGACGCCCAACCGCCAGCGCCGACGUCCCCAACCUCGCAGCCCGCACUUCCACCCCUACAACCUACGUCCGAGACCUGGUAGAACCCUAGCCUCUACCACAAGGUGUACACACUAUUUUGGUUGCAUGCCUACGCCUCAUGCCUAGAGGAAACCGCUGCCUGCUCUGGACCUGGAAUUUUGCAUUUUUCUGCAUCGGAAGGCAUGCAUGCCUAGGCCUCAUGAACAAAACCUCAUGAACAAAACCUUUGACUGGCCUGGACCUGAAAUUUUGUAUUUUUCUGCGUGGGAGGGCAUGCAUGAUGAGAACUUGUUUGGAUUGCGACAUGGCCUCGAAGCAUUAAGUAAUUAUAUAUAUAACUAACAUAAAUAGUCCAUAUCCUUAUGUAAUCUGGCGCAUUAGUGUCAGGCAGGUGUUAGCCUGACUCCACACGACCUGAUGAGGAUGCCUCCGACACAUGUUAUAGACAGGCUCGAGACGAGGCGUCUUGCGACUAGGACAUCAACCGAACUGACAACGCUCGUAUACACGCGCAUACACUCAUCCCUAUAAACGCGCACACACACAUCCUACCCUUAUUAGCACCUUCGAGAGACUAAGCCGGCAUAUCAUCUUGAGGUUUACGAAGUCAUCGUAGGCACCUCGUCAUCGACGAAAACGUCUCCUUUCACUGAAAACGUAUCGCCGGAAAUCCUAAAAUAAAUCCAGAAGUAAUGCAACCAUCAGGAUUUGAACGGGUUGAGGAUACCACUGUCUCUCUAACCAUCCAAUCAUAGGUUGGUUUGGAAGACUUUGCAAUUAUUGGAUACUUAGGCCCUGUUUGUCUUAGAAGUCCCGGGACUUUUUCUAGUCUCAACUUAGAAGUCCCUAAUCCCUAUUCGUUUGUUUCCAAGGACUAAAUAGGGACUAGAGGUCAUUAAAUGACAUGCAAAAAGACCAUGUUAUCCUUAAUAAUAUAAUACUAGUUAUUAAAUGACAUGCUAAAAGUAGGGACAUUGUUGGAAAAAGUGACAAAAAAGUCCCAAAAAGACCCUCCCAUAGGGACUUCUUCAAAUAGUCUCAAAUACCCCCUUUAGUCCCUAAAAGUCCCUCCUGUUUGUUUCACAUGGAACUUUUUUUAAUCCCUACAUCAAAAAAUCCGUGAAAACAAACACCCCCUAAUCACCUUGGCGUGAUCGUGUCCAUCUUCAACAUAAAAUAUCAGCACCCCGUCCGACUGCCAUCAUGGCCCACGAGACAAAGACCCACAGAGCUCGUAAAAAAGGAGAGACAAGCCCGAGAGUCCAGACUCCGCACUCCAGUCCAGCGUCCAGAUCUAGAUCCCCGGCGGCCCCCAUCCCGGGCCCCAUGCUAGCGUCCAGCCACCUCACCAGCAACCAAAAAAAAUCCCCAACUUUCCGGGCUCCCACGUCGGCAGGGCAGCGUACUCCCUACGUGCAAAGCUGCUGCGUUGCAGUCGUGCACCUCCCCCGGCCUCUCCCUCCCUCCGCCCGUCUCCCCACCACCACCAGGCCACCUACGUCCGUCCGUCUCGCGCACGCCUCGCAAUCGCAUCCCCACCUUUCCCCUCCCUCCCUCCCAGAGCCUCCUCCGACCCCAAUCAGACCAAUCCGCUUCCGACCCCAACCCAUGCCCUCCCCCAUCGCCACCCACCUCCUCAAAGCCGCCGCCGCAAAGCCCCUCUUCUCCCCCCGCGCGGCCCAGAUCCCCCCGCUCCCUCGCCCGACCAGCGCCGCCUGCCGCUGGUUCCGGUGGCCGUCGCCCGCGAGGGGGCUCUGCUCCUCGCCGCAUUCCGGCCCUGCCGCCGAGGGGAUGGGAUCUGACGGGACGGGGACAGGGACCAGGAGGCGGGUGCCGGCAGCCAACGGUGUGUCCAAGGAAGGGGCGCCGCAGCCGCUGCCCGUUCCGCCCAAGCUGCUCACGCUGCCCACCGUGCUCACCAUUGGCCGCGUCGCCGCCGUGCCCUUCCUCAUCAGCAGUAAGCGACAACUGAGCUUUGCUUUGCAUUUUUGUAACUUGGUGUAUAGUGGGACACAUAUAUCACAAGAUCGAUGCAAAGCCUGAGAUUUCCUUUACUGAUCACUCCAUCACGCACAGUAGCCUAAAGGUAGCUGUUGGAAACACGGAGCGAUUGUAAGAUUUUCUUUGUUUUCCGCAAGCAAUGUUAGAACAAGAGUGUGCAAAGUGGUUUGCUUUCCCUAUCUAGCCACACUGAGUUUUCUUGCACGAAUAGCUAUCUAGGCUGCCUAACUCUCAAGCAAAAUAAGUCAGCACCGGAGGAAACUUGGAAGCAUAUAAUCCCUGAAUCACUGCAGCAUGGACAACUAGUCAACUACUUCCUCCGUCCCAAAAUAAGUGUCUUAACUUCAGUACAACUUUGCAGUAAAAUUUAGCACAAAGUUGACACACUUAUUUUGGAUCGGAGGUAGUACUACUCACGCAGAUGGCAAGAGCAAAUGAUCAACACAAACUCUUCCUUUAAGCCUUGCUGGGAAGUUUCUGAUACUGCAGAGUUUAUACUAUCCAUAUUCCAUAGCUUAAAAACUGGUGUCCUGUUGUCGGUAGUUGACAUAUAUACAGGGCUGCCUAUACACAGAGCUUAAACUGUCUCUUUUGUCUUCUACGCUUCAGAUUGAUCUAAGCUAGUUCAUCUUACAGACUAUCACAGUUACUAGACUUGGAAGAGGCAACUUCUGUGUUACGCAGGACACAGCACGCACUGAUGUGCAUAGUCUGCUUAAUCUCUUGUCCAAAUCUUCACAAUAUCAUACUGUAUUGUAUUCCGGGGGUUCUAUUUGCAUCUGUCGAUCUGUUUGCUUCCCCUCCAUUGGUGACACCGAAUGCUUCACGUGAAAUUAUCCUUCAUGAAGAUUAUUGCUGUUUCAGAAGGUCCAUCACAUUUU
rnacentral:lncRNA from 1 species